rnacentral:rRNA from 1 species
CCCUUAGAUGUUCUGGGCCGCACGCGCGCUACACUGAUGCAUUCAACGAGUUUCUUCCUGGUCCGAGAGGAAUGGGUAACCUUUUGAAAGUGCAUCGUGAUAGGGAUAGACUAUUGCAAUUAUUGGUCUUCAACGAGGAAUUCCUAGUAGACGUAGUUCAUCAGACUGCAUCGAUUACGUCCCUGCCCUUUGUACACACCGCCCGUCGCUCCUACCGAUUGAGUGGUCCGGUGAGGCUUUGGGAUCUGAGCAAAAAGAGCGUUUCGCUCGUUUGGCUCGGAAAACUCAGUCGAACCUUAUCAUUGAGAGGAAGGAGAAGUCGGAACA